CAGGAGUGCAUGGGUGUGAGAUGUUACAUGGUGAUUCGUGUAAUUAUGAAAAUACACCACGGGAUCAAUAGAAACAAGAAUACUGAAUGCAAAGUAAAGCAUGGACAUGAGACAUAGGAAAAUCUAAUGAU